AUGGAUUCUGAGACACGAAUCCAGACCCUACGGGGUGCAGCAGGCGCGAAAACUUGGCAAUGCGAGAAAUCGUGACCAGGGAACUCCAAGUGCAUGGGGUAAGACCUAUGCUUUUCUUGACUCUAAAAAGGUCUUGGAAUAAGAGGUGGGUAAGGACGGUGCCAGCCGCCGCGGUAAUACCGGCGCCUCAAGUGGUAGUCGAUUUUAUUGGGCCUAAAACGUCCGUAGCCUGUUUGGUACAUUCGUGGGUAAAUCAACCAGCUUAACUGAUUGAAUUCUGCGAGCACGGCCAGACUUGGGACCGGGAGAGGUGUGGGGUACGCUCAGGGUAGGGGUAAAAUCCUGUCAUCCUGAGCGGACCACCUGUUGCGAAGGCGCCACACUAGAACGGAUCCGACGGUCAGGGACGAAGCCUAGGGGCACGAACCGGAUUAGAUACCCGGGUAGUCCUAGGUGUAAACGCUGUGGACUUGGUGUUGGGGAUUCUCCGAGGAUCCUCAGUGCCGAAGCGAAGGUGAUAAGUCCACUGCCUGGGGAGUACGGUCGCAAGGCUGAAACUUAAAGGAAUUGGCGGGGGAGCACCGCAACCUGAGGAUUGUGCGGUUUAAUUGGAUUCAACGCCGGAAAACUCACCAUAGCCGACGGACAAAUGAAGGUCAGUGUAAUGAACUUACCGGAUUGUUCGAGAGGUAGUGCAUGGCCGCCGUCAGUUCGUACCGCAAGGCGUUCUGUUAAGUCAGAUAACGAACGAGACCCUCAUCCCUAUUUGCUAAGGUCAGUCCGCUGAUCACAGGACUAUAGGGAGACCGCUGGCGCUAAGUCAGAGGAAGGCGAGGGCAACGGUAGGUCAGUAUGCUCCGAAUGCUAUGGGCUACACGCGCAAUACAAAGGACAGGACAAUGGGCUGCUGCGCCGAAAGGCAUGAUAGCUAUCCCGAAACCUGUUCGUAGUUCGGAUUGAGGGCUGUAACUCGCCCUCAUGAAGCUGGAUUAGGUAGUAAUCGCGUCUCAAAAAGGCGCGGUGAAUAUGCCCCUGCUCCUUGCACACACCGCCCGUCAAACCAUCUUAGUUGGGGGUGGGUGAGGCUGCCUUUUAGUGGGGUAUUCGAGCCUGCCUUCGACAAGGAGGGUUAAGUCGUAACAAGGUAUCUGUAGGGGAACCUGCAGAUG
rnacentral:rRNA from 1 species